CAGCAUCAACAGACAAUAUAUUCACAGUGAUGCUAGCCUCAUUACUUUUGAUACACAGGUUAAAAGUUCUCUUCAUCUGUCUAUCCCUCUGUAAAGAGACAAGAUCUUAUUAAUGGAAUGAGGGAGGAAAUGUCUAAGAAUUCGACCCACUGAUUCUAGCAAUAGGGUGCAGUUGGAAGAAUUUCUCCUGGACAAAGAACAAAUAUUACUUUCAAGUUUCAAUAUAUGAGAAAAAAACUAGUUAGGAACUAACAGUUAUUUUUAAUAUUCCACAACUCUUAAUUGUUUACCAAUCUUUACAAAACGCAACUGAAACUCAACCAACGCAAGAAAUGAGUGACUCAAAAUUUAUUGCACAGAAAAACGGUGAUCUAUACGAAUAUGCAGCCAUGAUAAUAAAGACGAUGUACAUUCAUGAAAAUGGUCAUUAAAAUACACCACCUGAGGAAUCUUCUUAUCCAUGUGUGUUAGUUAAUCUACCAAAUACACCAAUAGUUCAAAGGCAAAAAUGUAGACCACUAUCACUUCAAACAGAAAUGGGAACCUGGGAGGAACAAGGGGUGAGAAGAAAAGGGAAAUUAGCCGCACUUCAUAAUUCAGUCUUGAAAAUAAGAGGAUUUUGAAGGCUUUUACACUAAUCUCUCAGAAAACGUACUUAAUGUUUGCAUGAAGCAUAACUUGAGUCUGAAAAGGACAGUCUGACAUCAAUAAAAUUUAUCUGUUUCUAGUGUGAUCUAAACAGCCUCCAAGCUGACAAUCUGAUAACAUGAAGCAUAAUGAAUUCCCCAGGAUAUGCCAUGUAUAACAUGAACGUUUGAAAAACUGGAAAAUCAUGAUUGUGCAAGAUUUUAGAAAAUUGUACAUCAUUUUACAAAUCGAGGCCUGCUACAAUGACUCCCCACAAGUCCUGCUAUCAAUCCUAGUCCACAAUACUAAUUUUAUAUCCAGAAAGAAGCAACUUUGUACAAAAGUAGCAAAUAUUCAUUUGACUAGGAAUGAAACAUUUCAAUUAACUUCUGGCUUCUGCCUUCAUUACAUUUUAUUUCUAGAUUUUACGAUUUCUUUCUCAUCUUUGUGAAAAGAGAUUAAAAAGUUUACUAGCACUAAUUCUAUUCGUUGCUCACUUCACACGCUCAUGUAGUCCUUUAUCAGUGACGGCCAUAUGGAAAAUAGCAUUACAAAUAUAUUUCCCAUAACCUUCAGAAUGAACAGGAUGGCGACCAUACUAAUUAAUUUCAAAUUUGCAAAAAGCCGAACAUGGCUUGCAAUAUUCCAAAGUUCUCUUUGAAUCCACCUACUCUUUAAGUGGAAUCCAAGCACUAUCUUAGACAACAAUAUAUUUUUAAAGCAUUAACCUCAUCAAUCACAGCUAGCUCUACUGAAGAAUCAGUCAUUCAGUAGGUACCUAAAGAUUCAUUUUAUAUUUUUAUUCUUUUAGUAAGACAUCUAAAGUAACCAUCACGUAUGGCCCUAGAUGAUUGUCUCCAACAAUAAUAACAGUUAAUUAUGAAUAAAUAAUUUACCUUGAGAACCAUCAGCACUCUUUAACUAAAGACUCGCAAUCUGCUGCCAAUAGCUUGGGCCUCUCCUCUUUCCCUUAACUCUAAAGGCAUCUUGAAAACACCCUGUAUGAGUAAGGUGAACUCCAGCCUGUUUUACAAACAUUAAAAAGGAUAGAGAAACAUAUAAGCAACUUCAAAAUGCAAUACCGAAUCCAGUUGGAAAUGAGUCUUCGAGAGAAUGUAACUCGAGACUGCCACCAUUAAAAGCUGUGAUAAUUUUACGCCCAAUUAAACCCGUAUUCCCAAUACUAAGAGCAGCAAGCAUGAGGAGUGUAGAAUAAUACAUUGAAAACGGAAAAAAAAAAAAAGGUUAAAACCUAAAUAUUAACAAAGAUUAAGCAAAAUAUUUUUUAAGAACUUGAAAAAACAGACCUUAGGAAGCGAUGCGUCCUCCUUUGACUGUCCAACAAGAUCCAUCAGCUUCAUCUUUAGCCUUUAAUUUUAAUAAGACUAAUAAUGAAAUUGUGAAAAUAGAGGCACA
rnacentral:lncRNA from 1 species